GCAGUGUCCUUAGAAACUCGUCGGGGGCAUGGGUUUUUGGUUUUUGUGCUAAUCUUGGUCGAGGUGAGAUUCUAUGUUCUGAAGUUUGGGAUGUUUUUAUUGGGCUGUAAUUUGCAUGAAAUAAUGGAAUUAAGAAGAUUAUGGUAGAAUCAGAUUUUGCUCUUGCAGUUCAAUUGAUUUUUAAUGCAAAAGUGGAUAAUCACCCUCUGGGAAGUUUAGUACUGAAUUGUCGAGCCGUUAUGCACCAAAUUUGGUAUUGUGAAAUUUGUCAUAUCUAUUGUGAAAAGAAUUUUGUUGCUGAUGAUGAUUUAGCUCAUUUGGUCCAGUGUUUUUUAAGCAAUCUCCUUAUUCUUGUCAUCGAUUGCAAGUUGCAGAUAUAAUUGGGGUCUCAUGGCCUUGUGAUAUUCUAUUGUAAUCUUCAUUUUCUUUCAGGCCUAUGCCCCUUUGUCAAAAAGAAAAAAAAAAGUGUACAUACAAAAUGGAAAUUGUGACGUUGAUUGUGAACUACAAAAUCAGAAUGACUUUGAUAUGAUGUAAGGGUUUUCAUGGGCCACUAGGUGCGGAUAUGGCUCCCAUGUUGUCAGUCAACAGGCUGUCGAAUUUGGCGUCUGCUCGCCGAUGUCGUGGGUCGUCAACGACCACGAUCUUGGCUUGCGUUAUGCUGGUGGUCUAGUUCGAGGUCAAGUCUCUACAAAUUCCCUGCACGUUCACUUCUUCUCACCCCAACUAGGAGUAGUAAAAUGAAAAUUAGUGGGAAUUUCAUGAUACUUAAGAGUAGUAAAAUGAGACAAGUGCUGAUCAAUCAUGAGCACUGUAGUAGGGCGUAAAGUGGUUUUAACAACAAAUUGUCUAACAUUUACCUAGGCUGAAAUUAAAAAUAGAUUGUCUUAACAUCAAUCAUAAGCUAUGAAGAUGAACCAGUUUCUGUAACUGAAAGUAUGAUAGCAUAAUAUCCCUAUCUAUUCUACUAGUUGUUGUAAAAAUUUUGGGGAUAAAAUUCUCUUAAAGAGGGUAGACUGUUACAACCCAUGUCGUAAAAUAUUAUAUUUUAUUCUCGAACUAGUGGAAUGUUAAGUAAUUUUCAUGCCUUGACUCGAAUUUAAAUUUCUUAUAUUUUCUUAGUCUUCCUAAAUAUUCAUGUUAUGUGAAUGUAAAAUGCACGGAGGGGUAAAAUGGUUCCACUGAAUUUUUUC
rnacentral:lncRNA from 1 species